CUACGGGAGGCAGCAGUGGGGAAUUUUGGACAAUGGGCGCAAGCCUGAUCCAGCAAUGCCGCGUGAGUGAAGAAGGCCUUCGGGUUGUAAAGCUCUUUUGUCAGGGAAGAAACGGCUGAGGCUAAUAUCCUCGGCUAAUGA
rnacentral:rRNA from 1 species